rnacentral:lncRNA from 1 species
UUUAGAAGAAAAAAAAACACCCUCAAGGGCAAGCUGAGCAGAGAGAACGGAAAACCCAGCAUCUGGUAGUGCUUGCUGAUACCCACGAAGCAAGGUGGUGGUCCUGAAGGACUCUUACAUCUGGCUGAGGAUGCUAAGAGAAAUAGCGAGGUCCAUCCACCAGGAUCGAGCCUACAGGCACAUCCAGGGGUUACAGCAUUCGACUGAAGGAGGCAGGGAAGCAAUAUGAAGGAAUGUCUGAAGAUACCUCUGCCUUCGGGAGUGUCCGGCAGCUGAAGGAGUGCAGCCCUGGCAGGAGGUUGCCUGAGUUUAGACACUGGUGUGGCCAUUUCCAGGCUGUGUGACUUUGACCCAAAGGAAACAAAAGCCACAGUUAACUUUUCUCUGUGUGAUUUUCCUCAUCUUCAAGUCCUGUUGUGAGGACUGUGCAGGAUACUCCCUGAAAAGCAUGUUUCUGAUAAACAGGAAGACAAACCAGGAAGCAGUGGCUUCUGAAUGCUGUGUGUUACAAGGAAUGGCUUUCCAUAAGCAGUGUUAAAACGGAUCAGUUGAGAAAUCAGAGUGUUUGAUGGGACAGUUCUUGAAUUAAGUAUGUGGAAUAUUAUACAAACCUGUUGUGCGUAUAUUGUACUCUAUGUACAUGCAAUAGAUAGUUUACUAGUUACACAUGAUUUAACAGGAUGGUUUGAUUUGACUUGGCAGAGAGGAAGACGGGACCAGCUGGCUUGGUAAGAAUGUAGAAUGGGA